rnacentral:lncRNA from 1 species
GUGACCUCCACAGUGUACAGCCAGCCAGUUUGAUACAUUUCACAACAAUUUGGCUAUAUCAUAACCUAUGUUUAUUUUAUUUUCAAUUUUAUCUUAGUUAUUUUCCCUGUGGCAAACUGAAUUAUGAUAAUCUUGCAGUAUUUCUACCCUGCUCCUUUGUGUUUUUCAAUAUUUCUGGUGCCUUCUUCUUUUUAACCUUGGCAUUAGAAAAAUCAUGUUGUACAUAAAUAAGUUUACAUGCUUUAAUUUAAUGGUGUUUUCAUAUAGUAUACUAAAUUUUCUAGGCAAAGUGCUGAGAAUAGCAGUGUUCUCUUACAGUUGUUUUUAAGCCAUAGAUUUUUUAAAAAGAAUAUAUUCUCAAUGAAUAAAACUGAUGUUCAUGUCAUUGUUCUAUUUAUAGAAUUGUUAUAUGUUCAGAUUUUUUAAUUUUAGUAAUGUUCUUAUAAUCCUCUAGUAAUGCUUUCUAGUUUUCACUGUUUUAGCAACUAGAAAUGUUUAUUGACUAAUAAUUUUAUGGCAACAAUUGUCAUCUGAAAAAAAGAAGAGUAAUCAGUCUUGAGAGAGUGGGGACUUUUUGUUCUUUGACAGCCCAAUGAAAAGGUUUUAGUUUUUGACAAAUUUUAUAGCCAAAAGGAAUAUUUCCAAUAUAACUAUAUCAAGGAAAUUGCUGAGAUAAAAGAAGAUGAUUAUAACAUUCUGCUGGUAACAUAGUACAUUGUUUUAGAAAGGUAAUUCCAACUAAAAAUGAAACUGAAUUAUGUAUUUUAAAAAUAUUUCUACCAUUGACUGGUUAAAAAAAAGUUUAUGUGCUCUUAUUAAAGAAUUAUCAACUGUUUUGCUCUGAAUAUAAAAGAUUGGGAAGAAUUUUAUAUAGAGAAGUUAAUUUCUUAGAGUUAUAACUUUUUUAUUUUUUGAAAAUUGUCUACCAAUAGCUUUGAAGCACUUCUGUCCCUG